AUAAUACUAGUUUUAAUUAAAAAUGAUCUUGUAAAUCAUAGAUAGAAAAAUCUUUAAAACU
rnacentral:tRNA from 1 species